rnacentral:rRNA from 1 species
GAUGAACGCUGGCGGCGUGCCUAAUACAUGCAAGUCGAGCGAACGGACGAGAAGCUUGCUUCUCUGAUGUUAGCGGCGGACGGGUGAGUAACACGUGGAUAACCUACCUAUAAGACUGGGAUAACUUCGGGAAACCGGAGCUAAUACCGGAUAAUAUUUUGAACCGCAUGGUUCAAAAGUGAAAGACGGUCUUGCUGUCACUUAUAGAUGGAUCCGCGCUGCAUUAGCUAGUUGGUAAGGUAACGGCUUACCAAGGCAACGAUGCAUAGCCGACCUGAGAGGGUGAUCGGCCACACUGGAACUGAGACACGGUCCAGACUCCUACGGGAGGCAGCAGUAGGGAAUCGUCCGCAAUGGGCGAAAGCCUGACGGAGCAACGCCGCGUGAGUGAUGAAGGUCUUCGGAUCGUAAAACUCUGUUAUUAGGGAAGAACAGAUGUGUAAGGAACUGUGCACAGCUUGACGGUACCUAAUCAGAAAGCCACGGCUAACUACGUG